GUAAGAUUGUGCUCCUCAAAGAAAACUCAUACAGGCUUCAGAGUAAUUAAUGGCAGGAUGGACGCAGCGAGGUCAUAGAAAGUAAUAUAAAAUAUUCUUAGUAAGUAUAGUAAUUGCAUAGAUGGAGAAUCAAGUGUAGUAUUCGAAGAUCUUAAUUAUAGAGUUGUGAAGUCCUAAUAGGUGGUAUAAUGAGGCGAACAAGCUCUAAAACGAACUAAUUGUGUCUUAAUGACAUCUUUAAUGUGGAAAUGAAACAAUGGCGUCUGCUCCAGAGAGAAGCUGACUUCAUCUGUGGCUGUCAUUGGCAGACUGGACUCUUCUUCAUCAGGAGGGAGGAGAUUUUCUCCGGCACACCCAGAUUAGGAGUUUAAAUGAGCUCUAGUAUGCACUGCAGAUGCUAUGAAACGCAGAAGAGAUGUUUUCCAGAAGAACCCAUUCGGUGAGCUCAGAAAAACAGCAGUCCGGAGCUGUUAUUUCCCAGCCGUCCCAGUUCUCCCUGGAGGAUGGAUGCAAUUUCCACACAGAAAACAACAUUUGGAUCUGCUGGAAGUGGAACAAAGCUCCAUAGAGAGCAUCAACAUGGUGCAUAAGUUCAUGAAUUUAAACAAUCCAGUAUAAAUGCUUGGUUUGACCUUUACGGUGCAGAAGAGUGACCCACAAACCCCAGCAGUGUCCUGGAUCAUGAGCUGUCUUCAGCAUCUGCUCUCAAACUCUUGCAGCAAAAGUAUCAUAAGUAUCUUGAGGGGCCUUCAAAUGCUGUCUUUGACAGUGAGGUGCCUCAGAGUCAGAAAGAUCAAGAGUUAUCUGUGGUGACACAAGCUUCACAAAUGAACAGUAAACCUCCAGAAAGAUCUGAAGAAUCUAAUGAAUUCAGCUGACGUUGGAGAACAUGUUCCUCCAGUUUAGCAUCUGAAAGGACUGUUCCUGUCUGAGGUGAGCGUGAACCCAAGGCCAGCUCCACAUGUGCUGUUUACGGCAGUGGAUUAGAGUUCAGAACAAGGCGUUCAUUGUGCAGGGAAUUACAGGGACAGCUGCAGGCAUUGACGCCCUGCGGGAUACUGACCCCAAACCCCAGAGAUUACCAGCGCCUGGCCCCCCGUCCAUGAUUGCUGCCUGACACGAGCCUGUGCACAAGUUUACAGCUGCUAUAAAUGUGAAGUUCAAAUAAAGAACCAUAAAACAAAAAGCUGUUUGUACUGGCAGCACAUUUUAACUAGCCCUCAUACACAGAUGAGCGGGUUCAUGCUACAUGUUAACCAGUCAUCCCAUAUCCCACCAGUCUAAGAGUGUAUCAAUCACAACAGCAGGUGCACGGCGGCCCGGGUGUGUUUGUGUACACGUGUUUGUCUCUGUGUUGACAUUCAGAUCUGUAUCAAGUGCAUUCUGGCAGUUCCAGGUAAAGUAUACGCUUUCUGUCACUCGGUAAACAGUAGUUUAAUCAGAUAUGAUGAAGCCGUUGUAUAUAAAACAGAAGAUUAAUUUGAUGGUUAACUAACAG
ensembl:lncRNA